rnacentral:rRNA from 1 species
UGCCAGCAGCCGCGGUAAUACGAAGGGGGCUAGCGUUGUUCGGAAUUACUGGGCGUAAAGCGCACGUAGGCGGAUUUUUAAGUCAGAUGUGAAAUCCCGAGGCUCAACCUCGGAACUGCAUUUGAAACUGGGAAUCUAGAGAUCAGGAGAGGUUAGUGGAAUACCGAGUGUAGAGGUGAAAUUCGUAGAUAUUCGGUGGAACACCAGUGGCGAAGGCGACUAACUGGACUGAUACUGACGCUGAGGUGCGAAAGCUAGGGGAGCGAACGGGAUUAGAUA